UCAGCGUUUUUAAGCCUUGGAGUAUCUUUGUCCACGUCUGUAGCCGAUUGUGUGAGCAGAAAUGGGUCGACAAGUUUUACAUAAAAGAUGAAAACGUUAUCAACGCCUGAAGUCUUUUUUGUCAGCUAUCUGUCUAGCAUGGUCCAGAACGCUUGUGCGAGGACAGAAUAACUUUGCAAAUUGUAUUUGCAUCAAAGACACUGCUCUUGCCUGGUUUUGGUCCUAUCAGAGAAGUCAUUAAUAAAAGUUAUAUAAAAUAUUGUAAAUCUCAAAAAAAAAAAAACUGAG